AGGGUAUUGCACAAGAUUAAAUUGAGAUCCUCAGUUAGGUGGUUAACUGAUUUUUGUCCUCAGUUAACCACCUAACUGAGGAUCUCAAUUUU